rnacentral:rRNA from 1 species
AAACCAACAGGGAUUGCCCUAGUAACGGCGAGUGAAGCGGCAACAGCUCAAAUUUGAAAUCUGGCCCUCGGGUCCGAGUUGUAAUUUGUAGAGGAUGCUUUUGGCGCGGUGCCUUCCGAGUUCCCUGGAACGGGACGCCUUAGAGGGUGAGAGCCCCGUACGGUUGGACACCAAGCCUCUGUAAAGCUCCUUCGACGAGUCGAGUAGUUUGGGAAUGCUGCUCUAAAUGGGAGGUAAAUUUCUUCUAAAGCUAAAUAUUGGCCAGAGACCGAUAGCGCACAAGUAGAGUGAUCGAAAGAUGAAAAGCACUUUGAAAAGAGGGUUAAAUAGCACGUGAAAUUGUUGAAAGGGAAGCGUUUGCGACCAGACUUUUUCCCGGCGGAUCACCCGGUGUUAUCACCGGUGCACUUCGCUGGGUUAAGGCCAGCAUCGGUUUCUGUAGGGGGAUAAAAGCCUGGGGAACGUAGCUCCCUCGGGAGUGUUAUAGCCCCUCGCAUAAUACCCUUACGGGGACCGAGGACCGCGCUACGGCAAGGAUGCUGGCGUAAUGGUUGUCAACGAC